CUUCCCUCCCAAAAAAAAAUAUACCCAACUUAUAUCCUUGUAUAUACACACAAAUGAAGAUGAGAGCUUCCCUCAAACACAUCACCCACUGUCGAUCUCUCUGUCUCCUUCUCGAAGUUCGGUGACCGGACAUAACUCCUCAGUUACAAACCCCCCUCACCUCUUGUCUUCUUCUUAAACCAUCACACGACCCUCCACCAUGUUCGAUGGAACGGCCGACCACCACCAUUUCGGUGGUGGUGUUCAGCGGCAGGUUCACAGAGCAAAGAGAGAGAGAGAGAGAGAGAGAGAGAACGAAGCAAGAAGACGGCAGCCGGCAGGAGUGGGUCCGACGGCGGCAAUAGCUGCGUUUCAGUGACGGCGACGCUCGGCGACCAGUCACUGCCCUCCGGUGAUAGUUUCAGGGCUGAUUCUGUUGUUUCGGUGACUUCGGUGCUCCUUCAUCCAACCAUCAACUAUUCACGGGAAUACCAACGAAAGCUUUGCAAAGAGGUAAUCCCUCACGCGCGUUCGGUUUUCCCAAACCUUUCCUCACGCGUUAUUUCAAGGAAUCUCCAUACGCAAACAUUGAUUUUGAUGAUGCAAGGAAUCUAGUAGGAUUGCCUAGAAACGCAUUUAAACUUUAAUACUUGUGGUACUGUAUUUUAUUUUCAAACAUGUUGUAUUUUGUUUCCAAGCCUUGUAUUAAACCGUUAUUAAUGAAAUGAAAUUUUAGUUCUUUUACA